rnacentral:rRNA from 1 species
UACCAGCACCCCGAGUGGUCGGGACGAUUAUUGGGCCUAAAGCAUCCGUAGCCGGUCCUACAAGUCUUCCGUUAAAUCCACCUGCUUAACAGAUGGGCUGCGGAGGAUACUAUAGAGCUAGGAGGCGGGAGAGGCAAGCGGUACUUAGUGGGUAGGGGUAAAAUCCGUUGAUCCAUUGAAGACCACCAGUGGCGAAGGCGGCUUGCCAGAACGCACUCGACGGUGAGGGAUGAAAGCUGGGGGAGCAAACCGG